rnacentral:rRNA from 1 species
GACGAACGCUGGCGGCGUGCUUAACACAUGCAAGUCGAACGGAAAGGCCUCUUUCGGGGGGUACUCGAGUGGCGAACGGGUGAGUAACACGUGAGUAACCUGCCCUUGACUUUGGGAUAACUUCAGGAAACUGGGGCUAUUACCGGAUAGGAGCUCCUGCUGCAUGGUGGGGGUUGGAAAGUUUCGGCGGUUGGGGAUGGACUCGCGGCUUAUCAGCUUGUUGGUGGGGUAGUGGCUUACCAAGGCUUUGACGGGUAGCCGGCCUGAGAGGGUGACGGGCCACAUUGGGACUGAGAUACGGCCCAGACUCCUACGGGAGGCAGCAGUGGGGAAUAUUGCACAAUGGGUGGAAGCCUGAUGCAGCAACGCCGUGUGCGGGAUGACGGCCUUCGGGUUGUAAACCGCUUUCGCUCAUGACGAAGCUUUGUGUGACGGUAGUGGGUAAAGAAGCACCGGCUAACUACGUG